rnacentral:misc_RNA from 1 species
GAUGAAGAACGCAGCGAAAUGCGAUAAGUAAUGUGAAUUGCAGAAUUCAGUGAAUCAUCGAAUCUUUGAACGCACCUUGCGCCCUUUGGCUAUUCCGAAGGGCAUGCCUGUUUGAGUAUCAUGAACACCUCAACUCUCAUGGUUUGCCAUGAUGAGCUUGGACUCUGGGGGUCUUGUUGGCCUAUGGUCAGCUCCUCUCAAAUAAAUCAGCUUGCCAGUGUUUGGUGGCAUCACAGGUGUGAUAACUAUCUACGCUUGUGGUUUCCCAUCAGGUAACCUUCAGUGAUGGAGGUUCGCUGGAGCUCAUAAAUGUCCCUCCUCAGCGAGGACAGCUUUUUGAACGUUUGAUCUCAAAUCAGGUAGGACUACCCGCUGAACUUAAGCAUAUCAAUAAGCGGAGGA